GUCCUUUUGAAUUUAAUUUAAGGUCUGGCCUGCCCAGUGAUUAAUUUAACGGCCGCGGUAUAUUGACCGUGCAAAGGUAGCAUAAUCAUUAGUCUUUUAAUAGGGGGCUGGAAUGAAAGGUUUAACGAGGAACUGACUGUCUCAUUUUAUUUGUAUUAAAAUUUAAUUUUUUAGUUAAAAAGCUAAAAUUUAAUUGGAAGACGAGAAGACCCUAUAGAUCUUUAUAUGGCUUAUUAAAUUUGUAACAUAUUAAUACAUUUUAUGAAAGCUGUAUUUUGUUGGGGUGACAAAAAUAUAAAACUAACUUUUUUAUUAAUUAACCAUUAAUUUAUGAAAAUUAGAUCCACUUUUAGUGAUUAUUAGACUAAGUUACCUUAGGGAUAACAGCGUAAUCCCCUUCCAGAGUUCAUAUUUACAAGGGGGCUUGCGACCUCGAUGUUGGAUUAAGAUAAUAAUUAGGUGCAGCCGCUUAAUAUAUAGGUCUGUUCGACCUUUAAAUUCUU
rnacentral:rRNA from 1 species